AGAUUGAACGCUGGCGGCAUGCCUUACACAUGCAAGUCGAACGGCAGCACGGGAGCAAUCCUGGUGGCGAGUGGCGAACGGGUGAGUAAUACAUCGGAACGUGCCCAAUCGUGGGGGAUAACGCAGCGAAAGCUGUGCUAAUACCGCAUAAGAUCUACGGAUGAAAGCAGGGGAUCGCAAGACCUUGCGCGAAUGGAGCGGCCGAUGGCAGAUUAGGUAGUUGGUGAGGUAAAGGCUCACCAAGCCUUCGAUCUGUAGCUGGUCUGAGAGGACGACCAGCCACACUGGGACUGAGACGCGGCCCAGACUCCUACGGGAGGCAGCAGUGGGAAUUUGGACAUGGGCGAAAGCCUGAUCCAGCCAUGCCG
rnacentral:rRNA from 1 species